rnacentral:rRNA from 1 species
GACGAACGCUGGCGGCGUGCUUAACACAUGCAAGUCGAACGGUGAAGCUCCAGCUUGCUGGAGUGGAUCAGUGGCGAACGGGUGAGUAACACGUGAGCAACCUGCCCCUGACUCUGGAAUAAGCGCUGGAAACGGCGUCUAAUACUGGAUACGAGAAGGGUCCGCAUGGGCACUUUCUGGAAAGUUUUUCGGUUGGGGAUGGGCUCGCGGCCUAUCAGCUUGUUGGUGAGGUAAUGGCUCACCAAGGCGACGACGGGUAGCCGGCCUGAGAGGGCGACCGGCCACAUUGGGACUGAGAUACGGCCCAGACUCCUACGGGAGGCAGCAGUGGGGAAUAUUGCACAAUGGGCGGAAGCCUGAUGCAGCAACGCCGCGUGCGGGAUGACGGCCUUCGGGUUGUAAACCGCUUUCGCCUGUGACGAAGCGUGAGUGACGGUAAUGGGUAAAGAAGCACCGGCUAACUACGUG